rnacentral:ribozyme from 13 species
UAUUUCUUUUUCUUUUCUACCUUUUAUUUUGUUCAAUCUAUUUUUUCAACAACAGAGGAAUAGGGAUUAGAGUUAGAAGGAUAG